CCUACGGGAGGCAGCAGUGAGGAAUAUUGGUCAAUGGGCGAGAGCCUGAACCAGCCAAGUCGCGUGAGGGAAGACGGUCCUAUGGAUUGUAAACCUCUUUUGCCGGGGCGCAAAAAGCGGUACGUGUACCGCAUCGGGAGUACCCGGAGAAAAAGCAUCGGCUAACUCCGUGCCAGCAGCCGCGGUAAUACGGAGGAUGCGAGCGUUAUCCGGAUUUAUUGGGGUUAAAGGGUGCGCAGGCGGCGAGUUAAGUCAGCGGUAAAAUUUCGGGGCUCAACCCCGACGAGCCGUUGAAACUGGCUGGCUAGAGUGGGCGUGAGGUAUGCGGAAUGCGUGGUGUAGCGGUGAAAUGCAUAGAUAUCACGCAGAACUCCGAUUGCGAAGGCAGCAUACCGGCGCCCAACUGACGCUCAGGCACGAAAGCGUGGGUAUCGAACAGGAUUAGAUACCCGGGUAGUC
rnacentral:rRNA from 1 species